UGAACCAAGCAAAGGGGAAAAAAGUGCUUCUGUGAAAAGUUAAGAAACACGAAUGAAACACACACGAAGCUGAAAUGCUUACUCAAACCAGUUUCGAACCAGCACCGCGACUCCCCUGUUUUCGGCGUCGCGUUCGACGUUCCUGUCAUCGUGGAUUCUGUCGCGUUUCUCCAUGUGCCUUCUUCAACCUCACCAUCUCCAAGAUCAACAACCUCGUGUAUUGGAUUUCGUCCUCUUCGCGUGCUUGUCAUUGACGGAAGGAAAGAUACUCACUUCGAUGUUGUUAUGAUGUGAAUCCGUGAGUGGCUUCUGAAGAUGAAGGUUUAUGCGUGAUCUCUGUUGCCGAUGCUGAUGAACCUCCGUGAAAUCUCGAACGAAUUCAUGUCUAAUCCAACGUCCAGCGAAUUCGACACGGAUCCAGCGCCAACUCUGGUAAUCUUUCUUAUUCGCCUUGUUCUGGCAUUCAGGGAUUCGACGUUGAUGUUUAAUCACGCUUAUGCUCACACUUUGAUUGCAUCACGGAUUCGUCACGAUUCUAAUUUUAGGAUUCCUCAUUCAUCUUAGUGUUUCAAACAGCGUCGCGUUCUCUUCUAAACGCUUUAGGUUCGCGCACGCAAAAUUGAACAGCAACGCAAGUUUAUCCUAGAAAUUGACAUUGAGUAAAGUAGGCAAUGGCGGAAAACUCAUCGGAUUGAAGUCGGAGUCGGCAAUACGACCUCCCUACGAACAAACGGUGCAACGAAUCGAACGCGGGGAUGAGGUCAAGCUCAGCCGUUUAAAGCCUCAAGGAGAGAGCUUUAAUGGCUAUGAGAAUCGAGCUCUGAGUGAGAGGUUCAAGGGGGAGAAUGAGGGAGAAGACUUCGAAGUGAAUUGAGCAACCCCUCAAACUGAAAUGAGGGAGGGUGCAACAUCGUGAAUUGAGACGGAGAGAAGGGAAUCUAAAGCUUCAAUGGCAGCAUGUAGUCUAGAAAAUGAAUUCUGAAUGGAGUGUGCGAAGGCUUCUCCUCAUUCUUGACAACUCACGUGAACAAGUAGAAGGAAGAACUGAAACGUUAAUUCGUCAUGCUCCUUCUCAUAUGCAUUCGACGAGAUGGGAUUCAACUUCUUUUGUUUUCCAUGAAAUUUGAAAUAGAGAUAAGGAGUUGUAUUGGUGUACGUAAUAGUUAAGUAUUAAUCUUGUAUAUCAUGUAAACAAAUUGUACAUGCAGUGUUAUUUUGAAUGGAAAUGAGAGAUUGAAUGAUAA